rnacentral:rRNA from 1 species
UACGUAGGGUGCAAGCGUUGUCCGGAAUUAUUGGGCGUAAAGAGUUCGUAGGCGGUCUGUCGCGUCGGAUGUGAAAACCCGGGGCUCAACCCCGGGCCUGCAUUCGAUACGGGCAGACUAGAGUUCGGUAGGGGAGUCUGGAAUUCCUGGUGUAGCGGUGAAAUGCGCAGAUAUCAGGAGGAACACCGGUGGCGAAGGCGGGACUCUGGGCCGAUACUGACGCUGAGGAGCGAAAGCGUGGGGAGCAAACAGG